AACGUAGGAGGCAAGCGUUAUCCGGAUUCACUGGGCGUAAAGCGCGUGCAGGCGGUUCGGUAAGUUGGGCGUGAAAUCUCCUGGCUUAACUAGGAGAGGUCGUCCAAUACUACCGGACUUGAGAGUGAUAGAGGAAGAUGGAAUUCCCGGUGUAGUGGUGAAAUGCGUAGAUAUCGGGAGGAACACCAGUGGCGAAAGCGAUCUUCUGGAUCAUUUCUGACGCUCAGACGCGAAAGCUAGGGUAUAAACGGGAUUAGAGACCCCGGUAAUCCUAGCCGUAAACGAUGUAAACUUGGCGUCGGUGGCUUAAACUCCAUCGGUGCCGCAGCUAACGCGAUAAGUUACCGCCUGGGGACUACGAUCGCAAGAUUAAAACCUCAA
rnacentral:rRNA from 1 species